AUGAGUUCUUGAUAGUCAGUAAAUCACAGCAUACAUGCAAGGAACAAAGGAGAAAAUGAAAUCAUUUACUUGGAGAUGAGAGAAGUCAACUUUAUCAGUGAAUUCAUUCUAUUUUAUUUUAUUUUACAUUUUAUUUUAUUUUAUUUAUUUUAUUUAUUUUAUUUUGACAGAGUCUCGUUCCGUCAACCCAGGAUGGAGUGCAGUGGCGUGAUCUCGGCUCACUGCAACUUCUGCCUCCCAGGUUCAAGGGAUCCUCAUGCCAAGGCCUCCUGAGAGGCUGAGGCAGAAGAAUCACUUGAACCUAGGAGACAGAGGUUGCAGUGAGCCGAGAUCGCACCACUGCAUUCCAGCCUGGGUGACACAGCGAGACUCUGUCUCAAAAAAAUAAAAAUAAAAAUUAGUCAGAUUAUGGGCAAGAUUACUGUGCCAAAGUAGAAAUGACUCUUCUCAGUGCUACCAAAUUAAUUCUAGUCAGAAUCAGAGUGGGGAGA
rnacentral:antisense_RNA from 1 species